rnacentral:rRNA from 1 species
CACGUAGGGGGCGAGCGUUGUCCGGAAUCAUUGGGCGUAAAGCGCGCGUAGGCGGCCAGAUAAGUCCGGUGUGAAAGUCAAAGGCUCAACCUUUGAAUGCCGCUGGAAACUGUCUGGCUUGAGUCCGGAAGGGGCGAGUGGAAUUCCUGGUGUAGCGGUGAAAUGCGCAGAUAUCUGGAGGAACACCGGUGGCGAAGGCGGCAUCCUGGACCAUUACUGACACUGAAAAGCGAAAGCCAGGGGAGCAAACGGG